GCAUAUCUAUAAGCGGAGGAAAAGAAACCAACAGGGAUUGCCUCAGUAACGGCGAGUGAAGCGGCAACAGCUCAAAUUUGAAAUCUGGCCUCACGGUCCGAGUUGUAAUUUGUAGAGGAUGCUUUUGGCGAGGUGCUUUCCGAGUUCCCUGGAACGGGACGCCAUAGAGGGUGAGAGCCCCGUACGGUAAGACCACCGAGCCUCUGUAAAGCUCCUUCGACGAGUCGAGUAGUUUGGGAAUGCUGCUCUAAAUGGGAGGUGUACGUCUUCUAAAGCUAAAUACCGGCCAGAGACCGAUAGCGCACAAGUAGAGUGAUCGAAAGAUGAAAAGCACUUUGAAAAGAGGGUUAAAAAGUACGUGAAAUUGUUGAAAGGGAAGCAUUCAUGACCAGACUUGGGCUUGGUUGAACAUCCGGCGUUCUCGCCGGUGCACUCUGCCAGUCCAGGCCAGCAUCAGUUUGCCCCGGGGGACAAAGGCGGUGGGAAUGUGGCUCUCUUCGGGGAGUGUUAUAGCCCGCCGUGUAAUGCCCUGGGGCGGACUGAGGAACGCGCUUCGGCACGGAUGCUGGCGUAAUGGUCAUCAAUGACCCGUCUUGAAACACGGACCAAGGAGUCGUCUUCGUAUGCGAGUGUUCGGGUGUCAAACCCCUACGCGUAAUGAAAGUGAACGUAGGUGAGAGCUUCGGCGCAUCACCGACCGAUCCUGAUGUUCUCGGAUGGAUUUGAGUAAGAGCAUACGGGGCCGGACCCGAAAGAAGGUGAACUAUGCCUGUAUAGGGUGAAGCCAGAGGAAACUCUGGUGGAGGCUCGCAGCGGUUCUGACGUGCAAAUCGAUCGUCAAAUAUGGGCAUGGGGGCGAAAGACUAAUCGAAUCUUCUAGUAGCUGGGUUACCAGCCGAAG
rnacentral:rRNA from 1 species